AAACAGCCCUCAAUACCUGUGAUGAACUCUAAAACUUUUUUCAAGUUACACUUGACAUGCCUUAGUUUUUCGAUUAUCAUAUUUUCAGCUUUAGCUCCCAAGCUUCGACUAAUGUGAUCACAUUUUUCAUUUAAUAUGCAAUUGAGUAUAUCUUCAUGAUUGAGGGAAAUCCUUUUUUUGCUAAGUUAUGACUUAUAACCUGCUCAAUUUACAUGUCCUGACCAACUUCUUGUUCAUUAACAGCUUAAAGCUCUGGCAUCUUUGUCUGCUUUGCUCAAGCAGAAGUCUGGAAAGGAAAUAGUUCCUAUCAUUCCACAAUGGGCAUUUGAAUACAAGACGCUACUGCUGGACUAUAAUCGAGAGGUUCGGCGAGCUACUCAUGAAAGAAUGACUAAUCUUGUCACUGCUGUUGGGUUUGAAUUUCUCCCACCCCCUUUUUUGGCUAUUGAAUAUUGUUUUCUUACCUUCUUGUGUAUGACAACUUAAUGAUUACGUUGUAGUGAAGAAUAUUAAGGAUCAAUCAUGAAGGCUUGAUCCACUGAAUGUUGGAAGUCCACAAAUUUUGGUCUCUGUGAUGCUUAUUUGUUUGAGUAUUUUGUUUGAUAAUUUGGAAACAAAUACAAAGCUCAAACAACAA